AGAUCACACGGUGUUUUCUUUUGUUUUACAGUUUCAGUAUACAUAGUGAUCAAUUAAUUUGAUAAAGAAGAAAUGGUGUUUGACGUUACAUUAGCAUUGAAACUUUGAUUUGCGUAAACAUAAAUCAUUAUGGACUCUAGACGCGACUGCCAGAAAAUUUGUUUACAAGAUUGUCUCAGAAAACAUUCAUACAACUCUAUAAUAUAAAGUUGAAUGACUGUAGAAGAUACAUAAGGUUCCGUUGGAUGAAGAACGAAAAUUGUGAUUUCCUGUUCCAGUAUAGUAUUUGCGAGUUUUUCCAAUUUACAUAUAUAUAUUGGUUCGUUCGUGACUUGCAUUCAACUGGUCGAUUUAUUUCUGAUUGAUUCAACUGAGAUUUUUCUAUGUAGAUUAAUAGCUAAAUUAUCAUAAUGGUACAGACAAUAAGACGCCAAAAGGUUAUUGAUUUAUAAAAAAUACUUUUAAAUUAUUAUUUUUUUGUGUAUUUUAUUUAGAUCUUUGCAGACAAGUAUUCAGCCAAAUGAACGGAAUAAAGACUUUUUUAUCUAAAUAACUUAAGUUUCAAGCAUUUGCAUUCACCUUCAAGCUACAGGAUAUAACGAGUCUCUUUAUCUAGAGGGCGGCAAUAAUCGUGGAUGUACUAAAGGCAGUAUACUUACAACUUUUCUCGUUGCUCGUAUGUUUUAGCUAUUUUGCUAGUCGGAGAUAAAACAAAAAGGUGAAAUAAGGUUUGUUCAUCUAACUUUUACCUCUUAAGUCAAAUUACAACUGCGUGUUUAUAAUAAGACUGCGGAAUAAAAUGUUCUAUUACUAAGAUGUUAAAAAUAUUUUUUAUAAAUAGAGUAAAAUUAUUUCUGAUUCAUUGCUUAAAUAAUUUUAUAUUGUUCAUUAUAUUGAAGGUAAAGUAAGUCAUAUAGACGGCAGAAGACAGUGAACACUGCCCUUAGCGCUCAACAAUAUAAAUACCUUAAACUUUACUUAUAUUACGUAAUUCUAGUCCUCGACGGAUUUCAACUUUCACUUUUAACAAAAACUACAUGUUUUGAACUACGAUCCUUAUUUAUAAAAACGCUAUGCCUGCGACACACGCAAUCAGGUAACAUUUUAAAAAAAAUUGUCCCAUUUUUUUAUUAAAAACCUUUAUACUCAAAUGUUAUUGAAAUAAAAAAAUAUAUACAUUUUAA